UCAAGCACUCACUCACACAGAAGCUGAAGGCUCCAUAGCAGAUAUUUCCAUGAACAAGGCAGAAGCUCCACCGCCUAUUAUGACCUGGCUUCAGAGUCACAGAGCAUCACAUUCAUCAUACUCUGUUGGUCAAAACAGUCACAAACCCACCCAGAUUCUAGGAAAGGGAACAUAGACACCUCUGCCCUAAUGAGAGGACUCACCCUGUAAGAGGGGCAUGUGGAAUGGGAGGUAUUAUGGUUGCCAUCUUUAGAAAUUACAAUUUGCCACAGGUUGGGUUCCCUAGAAGCAGAGGUUGAAACAGGGGUUCUUUUGUGAGUUAAGGAAGAGGGAGAAGCUAAGCGAGGAUGUAGCUUCAGGUGAAGUCCAGCUUCAACCUGAUCUUGUAGGCAGCACCGGAUCUCACAUUGUCCGCAGCAUUUGUCCCUCCUUGAGGCAAAAAAGUAGGGCUUUUGUACACACAUAUCAGUCAACCUUAGCUUAGGGAAGCCCCAGGGGAAGGGUUGUAACUCCCAGGUAUCUCGUAGACAGGCAACUCCUCUUGCUUAAAGGCAUUUCCCAGACAAGGCUUGUUCUGUGAGCCUUUAAUAGCAGUUAAUAAAAAGAUCGCCAGAGAUCUGAUUGGGACUGCAACAGCCUCAGCUACAUUAAGAUAAGGGGGCACAUUCAAGGCCUGUUUUAUAGAGACUAGCAGAAACCAUAUAAGAAUCACUAACAUGAGCUGCCUAUCCUGGAGGCCCCUCUGCUGUCAUUAUUUUAUGUGCUGGAAAACGCUGCGAUGGGAAGACAGCCCGGUCAGAUGGGGAUGGCCUGGAAUAGGGGCCAGAGACAGGUCUUGCUCUGUCACCAGGCUGAAGUGCAGUAAUCAUAGCUCACUGCAGCCUCUGAACUCCCAGCCUGAAGCAUCCUCCCACCUCAGUCUCCCGACUAUCUGGGACUACAGGGGUGCACCAACAUAACUAGCUAAUUCUUAUUUUAUUUUAUUAUUUUUUGUAGAGACAGAGCUUUGCUCUGUUGCCCACACUCAUCUCAAACUUCUGGCUUUAAGCUAUCCUCCCACUUUGGCUUCCCACAGUGCUAGGAUUACAGGGAUGAGCCACCAUGCCCGGUCUGUUUCCAUUUUUUAAAAUAGUGGCUGGGACUUUGCUUCCUCUGUGUGAAAGGCUGCUUACCUGUCCUGGGGAAGGAUAGGAACAAAUUACAUGAAGCACACUGACCAUUCCUUCACCCUUCAGGCAGCUAACUAUGGAGGCAAGACA